rnacentral:other from 1 species
CGUCCUCUGCUGUGCGCGACGGCGUGCACAACAUUCACCUUGUCCCUUAAUGACGACCGCGGGGACGCAAUGAGCGCCGGGAGUGCAUGUCCGCCUUGUGCGGGAAGCCCAAAGGCAUUCAAGCGUUCCCACUUGAACCCCGGGUUCAAGGUCGUUGGCAGGCAUCGCCACAGCGGAGACAU